UACGGAGGGUGCAAGCGUUGUUCGGAAUUAUUGGGCGUAAAGCGCGUGUAGGCGGUUGGGUAAGUCAGAUGUGAAAGCCUUCUGCUCAACAGAAGAAGUGCAUUUGAAACUGCCUGACUAGAGUACGGGAGAGGAGAGUGGAAUUCCCGGUGUAGAGGUGAAAUUCGUAGAUAUCGGGAGGAACACCAGUGGCGAAGGCGGCUCUCUGGUCCGAUACUGACGCUGAGACGCGAAAGCGUGGGGAG
rnacentral:rRNA from 1 species